AACGAACGCUGGCGGCAGGCCUAACACAUGCAAGUCGAACGGGUGUAGCAAUACAUCAGUGGCAGACGGGUGAGUAACGCGUGGGAAUCUCCCCAGAGGUACGGAACAACUCAGGGAAACUUGAGCUAAUACCGUAUGUGCCCGAGAGGGCAAAGAUUCAUCGCCUUUGGAUGAGCCCGCGUUGGAUUAGCUAGUUGGUGGGGUAACGGCCUACCAAGGCUACGAUCCANAGCUGAUCUGAGAGGAUGAUCAGCCACACUGGGACUGAGACACGGCCCAGACUCCUACGGGAGGCAGCAGUGGGGAAUCUUGGACAAUGGGCGCAAGCCUGAUCCAGCCAUGCCGCGUGUGUGAAGAAGGCCUGCGGGUUGUAAAGCACUUUCAGU
rnacentral:rRNA from 1 species